ensembl:rRNA 5S_rRNA 5S ribosomal RNA
GGCUACGGCCACACCUCCCUGAGCACGCCCGAUCUCCUCUGAUCUCGGAAGCUAAGCAGGGUCGGGCCCGGUUAGUACUUGGAUGGGAGACCGCCUGGGAAUACCAGGUGCUAUAAGCC